UUCUCUCUUUUCUUUCCCUUUUUUUUUUGAUAUGGUAAUGACAAUUUCCCUUUCUUAUCAUUGUGUCUUGAUUUUCAUUUUUUAUAACCUGGAAAUGUUGUUUUAUUGUUUGUUCUUCGCUUUUUCAUUGUUUAAGUGCAUUUUGAAAUCUAUCUCAUGUUCUCUUCUUCCAACUCUUUUUUUUUUUACAUGUUUCUCAUGUUUUCUUCUCUAAAUUUUAAAAAUUUAGUUUCUACUUUAUUUCCUUUUGUUAUCUUACUAUUUACGUUCCUCAUUUUGUUUUUUCUUGAUAAGUUAUUUAUGUGUAUUAGUUUUUGCUAAUAGAAAAUCCUUGUAUCCUCCCUCUCUGGUAAAACUUUCUUUUUCUUUAUUUUACAAGUACAUAAAUUUCAAAAUCUCUAAUUCCUAACUUUCGGAUUCUAUCUUUAGUACUUCAAGACAAAGCCUCAUGCCUGCGAUCCUUUAAGCCUGCCAAAGUAUCCACCAAGCAAAGAGAUUGAUGCCAAACACUGUGAAGAAGCAAAAAGGUGAGAACUUGAUAACAUUCUGCCAGGAGAAUCUUUUGGAAUAUUUUUCUGGUUAUAAUUUUACUUUUAAGGGAAAAUCACAAUGGUUGACAAAAGGGAAAUACCCUACCCAAUGCCCCUCUGCACCCUCUCCCCCAAAACCAACCCUACACAAAAGGACAAGGACGAAGCAUGCUUUCCAUCCGUCAUUUUGCUGUAAGAGUAUGAUUAUGCUAUAAUCUAGUCAAUGAUACUCUCAAAACCAUGAUAACUUGAAACAGAGUAUAGACUUGUUUGACUAAAACGGCAAAACUGGUUUUGAUUGAAUGAUUACUUCCACAAAAUGAUAGUAAUAUUUAAGCUCCCUAUCUUGCUCUCAAGUGCUGACACCAGCUCUUGCAUUUGCUACAUUUUCUAGCUAUUGCACAGAUCUUGCUAAGUUUUGAUCUAAAUAUAUGAGAAUUUUCAGGAAGAAGCCUAGUGGAAGAGCCCGUGGACCUGAGACAACCAGAAAGUCAAUCAGAAAACAGAAUGCGACAAAUAAACUGGCACCUGAAGAGGUAUUCUUUUUUUCCUUUUUCCUGUAAAAAAUUUAGGUGCAUUUUUUCCUUCAUUUUGCAUAUUAUAGACAGAGAAAGCUAAAUGAUUUUUUUCUCUGCAGAAGUUACCUGUCCAAAAUCAAGGUGUUCCUAAAAGUAAUGGUAGUAGUCUGGGUACUCUAAAAGAAGGAGACAUUAUUAUAGGUCUUGAGCGACCUAAGCCAUCUGUCGAUUUUAGGGGAGAGGCUUCCCACAUUAAGAAUGCAUCUCAAGGCGAUGUCCCCUUUUCAGGCCCUCUUCAAGUUUCAGGAUCAAGUGGUUUUGCAUGGGCGAAAAGACGGGUUGAUGAUUCGUCAAUGAGAUCAAGGAGUAAAUCAAGUUCAAGAAGCCUAAAGUUUGAACCUUCAGGUGCAGUUCAUACUAAAAAUAACACGGAGCUAAAAAAACAAGAGAACUAUGUAGCUACAAAUGGAAGUCACACCAAUUCUAAGGGCCGUGACACCUAUGAAUCCACCAAACAUGCAAUGCAACGACAUUGGAGCCAAUUAGAGCAGACAGAUUCAUUUGAUACUUCUGAUGGCUAUCAUUCUCAAGAACUGUCACUGGCUCUCUAUCUGAAAGAGGAGACAGCUUUCAAGAGGAUCAAUGUGGUUAGUCAAACAUUUUUUUCAGUCUUCAAAUAUAAUAGCUACACAUUUUCUAUUCACAUUGUUAAAACCUGCUUAAAAUAAAGGGAUGCGAUUGUUCUAAAUGGAACAGUCAGUAAAAACAGGAUAAUUGAUGAAUUUAGAGAUUUUCGGGUUACAACUUCUGCAUUUAAUUCAUUUUCUGUCCUAUUCUGUUAUUUUUCCAAAUGAUGAAAUUGGUGACUAUGCUUUAGAAUAAUUAAGCCUCCAUGCUUGUUACUGAAACAUUCAGAGAAGCUAUAGCCUAUUGCAAACUCAUAAAAUGGAGUUGCAUAUUUAAUCAUUGAACUUAAAUUGAUGUUUUAUAAUCGUACCUUGAACAGGUUCAGGAUCAAAUGGACAAAGUUGAAUUCUCAGGACCUUUGCUAUCUCAAUCACACAGAGUUGAAGAACUCCUGGAGAAACAUGAGCGCCAGAUCCGACAAGCUGUUAGACGAUCAUGGUUCCAAAGAGGUAAAAUGUUUCACUACUUUGUAAAGGCCCUUUUUAAUCACACCUAUGUGUACAAUACAUAAGGCCUCUGAAUUUAUAGUGACCUGUAAUUAACUUUUUUGCUACGGUUGUUGAAUCUUUUAGCAAUUGUUUGAAAGUUGACAAGAGAAGAUAACAACAUGACUCCUCCCAGACAUGCAUUUAAACAAUUGCUAAUCAGUUGUUAAUCUAUCGUAGAUUGUCUUCUCGUCUAAUUCAUUUACUUAUUUUGUGGGUUGCUACUCUAUACAGUUGUAUUAGACAACCACCCGACUGAGCUUUUCCUUUUUUUUUUC
rnacentral:lncRNA from 1 species